AUACUUAGCUGGCAAGAGGAGAUACCGUGGUCACGAAGGUGGUUUUCCCAGGGCGAGGCUCAUCCAUUGCACUGCGGAGGUACGGACCCCUGCGAUAUUCUCAAAUGCCUGAAACUCCCCUGUGUAAUUUGUGGUAGUGGGAGAUAGCGUUUGCGCUUUCCCCUG